rnacentral:misc_RNA from 1 species
UAAUAAGUGUUUUAUGGCACUUUUUAAAUCCAUAUCCACCUUGUGUGCAAUGUCAGUCGAUCUUCUUCAUGUAGAUCGACCAAACAUCAACCUUUAUCUUUUAACUCUUUGUCUGAAAAAUAUUAUGAAUAAACAAUUCAAAAUA